CAAGUCGAGGGGUAUCCGUUUUCGGACGGAGAGACCGGCGCACGGGUGCGUAACGCGUAUGCAACCUACCUUUUACAGGGGAAUAGCCCAGAGAAAUUUGGAUUAAUGCCCCAUGGUAUAUUUUUAGGGCAUCCUAAGGAUAUUAAAGUUCCAACGGUAAAAGAUGGGCAUGCGUCCUAUUAGCUAGAUGGUAAGGUAACGGCUUACCAUGGCUACGAUAGGUAGGGGUCCUGAGAGGGAGAUCCCCCACACUGGUACUGAGACACGGACCAGACUCCUACGGGAGGCAGCAGUGAGGAAUAUUGGACAAUGGGCGCAAGCCUGAUCCAGCCAUGCCGCGUGCAGGAAGACGCAUCUAUGGUGUGUAAACUGCUUUUGUACGGGAAGAAACACCUCUACGUGUAGAGGCUUGACGGUACCGUAAGAAUAAGGAUCGGCUAACUCCGUGCCAGCAGCCGCGGUAAUACGGAGGAUCCAAGCGUUAUCCGGAAUCAUUGGGUUUAAAGGGUCCGUAGGCGGCUAGAUAAGUCAGUGGUGAAAUCCCAUCGCUCAACGAUGGAACGGCCAUUGAUACUGUCUGGCUUGAAUUAUUAGGAAGUAACUAGAAUAUGUAGUGUAGCGGUGAAAUGCUUAGAUAUUACAUGGAAUACCAAUUGCGAAGGCAGGUUACUACUAGUUGAUUGACGCUGAUGGACGAAAGCGUGGGGAGCGAACAGGAUUAGAUACCCUGGUAGUCCACGCCGUAAACGAUGGAUACUAGCUGUUCGGAGCAAUCUGAGUGGCUAAGCGAAAGUGAUAAGUAUCCCACCUGGGGGAGUACGUUCGCAAGAAUGAAACUCAAAGGAAUUGACGG
rnacentral:rRNA from 1 species